GACAGAGGGUGCAAACGUUGCUCGGAAUCACUGGGCGUAAAGGGCGCGUAGGCGGCUGAACAAGUCAAAGGUGAAAUCCCACGGCUCAACCGUGGAACGGCCCCGGGUACGGGCGGCCUCGAGGGGGGUAGGGGGCGUGCGGAACUGUGGGUGGAGCGGUGAAAUGCGUUGAGAUCCACAGGAACUCCGGUGGCGAAGGCGGCACGCUGGACCCCUUCUGACGCUGAGGCGCGAAAGCCAGGGGAGCGAACGGG
rnacentral:rRNA from 1 species